CCUACGGGUGGCAGCAGUGGGGAAUAUUACACAAUGGGGGAAACCCUGAUGCAGCGACGCCGCGUGAGUGAAGAAGUAAUUCGUUACGUAAAGCUCUAUCAGCAGGGAAGAAAAUGACGGUACCUGAGUCAGAAGCCCCGGCUAACUACGUGCCAGCAGCCGCGGCAAUACGGAGGGGGCAAGCGUCAUCCGGAUUUACUGGGUGUAAAGGGAGCGUAGACGGUGCGCCAAGUCUGGAGGGAAAUGCCGCAGCUUAACUGCGGAACUGCGUUGGAAACUGGCGAACUAGAGUGCGGGAGGGGUAAGCGGAAUUCGUGGUGUAGCGGUGAAAUGCGUAGAUAUUAGGAGGAACACCGAUUGCGAAGGCGGCAUACUGGACCGUAACUGACGUUGAGGCACGAAAGCGUGGGGAGCGAACAGGAUUAGAUACCCUUGUAGUC
rnacentral:rRNA from 1 species